rfam:Schistosoma mansoni strain Puerto Rico chromosome 1, complete genome
GCACUACUGAGGAGUCCCGCGAUAGGACGAAACGGCCGUCCAGUGC